GUGGGGAAUAUUGGGCAAUGGGCGAAAGCCUGACCCAGCAAUGCCGCGUGAAUGAAGAAGGUCUUAGGAUUGUAAAAUUCUGUCCUAUGGGAAGAAACAAAUGACGGUACCAUAGGAGGAAGCCCCGGCUAACUACGUGCCAGCAGCCGCGGUAAUACGUAGGGGGCGAGCGUUGUCCGGAAUUACUGGGCGUAAAGAGAGCGUAGGCGGCACUACAAGUCUCAUGUGAAAUACCCGGGCUUAACUUGGGGGUUGCAUGGGAAACUGUAGAGCUUGAGUACAGGAGAGGCAAGCGGAAUUCCUAGUGUAGCGGUGAAAUGCAUAGAUAUUAGGAGGAACACCAGUGGCGAAGGCGGCUUGCUGGACUGAAACUGACGCUGAGGCUCGAAAGCGUGGGGAGCAAACAGG
rnacentral:rRNA from 1 species